rnacentral:rRNA from 1 species
UACGUAGGGACCAAGCGUUGUCCGGAUUUAUUGGGCGUAAAGGGCUCGUAGGCGGUCUGUUGCGUCGGGAGUGAAAACUCAGGGCUUAACCCUGAGCCUGCUUCCGAUACGGGCAGACUAGAGGUAUGCAGGGGAGAACGGAAUUCCUGGUGUAGCGGUGAAAUGCGCAGAUAUCAGGAGGAACACCGGUGGCGAAGGCGGUUCUCUGGGCAUUACCUGACGCUGAGGAGCGAAAGUGUGGGGAGCGAACAGG